NCCCCCACNUNUGGUUCUGAGACACGGACCAGNACUCCUACGGGAGGCAGCGAGUGAGGAAUAUUGCGCAAUGGAGGAAACUCUGACGCAGCCAUGCCGCGUGCUAGGAUGAAUGCCCUAUGGGUUGUAAACUGCUUUUCUGCAAGAAGAAACCUUAGUACGUGUACUAAGUUGAC
rnacentral:rRNA from 1 species